rnacentral:rRNA from 1 species
AACGAACGCUGGCGGCAGGCCUAACACAUGCAAGUCGAGCGCCCGGAUUUAUCCGGGAGCGGCGCACGGGUGAGUAACACGUGGGAACAUGCCCUGAAGUACGGAACAACCGAGGGAAACUUUGGCUAAUACCGUAUACGCCCUGAGGGGGAAAGAUUUAUCGCUUCAGGAUUGGCCCGCGUUGGAUUAGCUAGUUGGUGCGGUAACGGCGCACCAAGGCGACGAUCCAUAGCUGAUCUGAGAGGAUGAUCAGCCACACUGGGACUGAGACACGGCCCAGACUCCUACGGGAGGCAGCAGUGGGGAAUAUUGGACAAUGGGCGCUAGCCUGAUCCAGCCAUGCCGCGUGAGUGAAGAAGGCCUUCGGGUUGUAAAGCUCUUUCAGCGGGGACGAUGAUGACGGUACCCGCAGAAGAAGCCCCGGCUAACUUCGUGCCAGCAGCCGCCGUAAUAC